UGGGGAAUUUUGGACAAUGGGCGAAAGCCUGAUCCAGCAAUGCCGCGUGUGUGAAGAAGGCCUUCGGGUUGUAAAGCACUUUUGUCCGGAAAGAAAUCCUUGGCUCUAAUACAGUCGGGGGAUGACGGUACCGGAAGAAUAAGCACCGGCUAACUACGUGCCAGCAGCCGCGGUAAUACGUAGGGUGCAAGCGUUAAUCGGAAUUACUGGGCGUAAAGCGUGCGCAGGCGGUUUGCUAAGACCGAUGUGAAAUCCCCGGGCUCAACCUGGGAACUGCAUUGGUGACUGGCAGGCUAGAGUAUGGCAGAGGGGGGUAGAAUUCCACGUGUAGCAGUGAAAUGCGUAGAGAUGUGGAGGAAUACCGAUGGCGAAGGCAGCCCCCUGGGCCAAUACUGACGCUCAUGCACGAAAGGCGUGGGGGAGCAAAGCAGGAUUAGAUACCCUGGUAGUCCACGCCCUAAACGAUGUCAACUAGUUGUUGGGGAUUCAUUUCCUUAGUAACGUAGCUAACGCGUGAAGUUGACCGCCUGGGGGAGUACGGUCGCAAGAUUAAAA
rnacentral:rRNA from 1 species